UUAAUUUUUAACGGCCGCAGUACUUUGACUGUGCUAAGGUAGCGUAAUCAGUUGGCUUUUAAAUGGAGUCGAGAAUGAAAGGGUUUUCGGGAAUUAGCUGUCUCUAUUAAAUUAGAUCUAACUUGCUUAAGGAGUGAAAAUUCUCCUAGUAAGAAAAAAGACGAGAAGACCCUAAGAGUUUUUACUAAGUUAUAUUUUUUUAUUAAGAAGUUUUUGCUGGGGCGGCAAAGAGACAAUAUAAACCCUCUUACUUAAUUUUUAGUAGACGUUUAUGUAAAGAAACAAUAAACUACCUUAGGGAUAACAGCAUAAUUUAAUUUAAGUUUGUGACCUCGAUGUUGGACUAGGGACUUUAUGGCUAGCAGUCUUAAAAGCGGGUUCUGUUCGAACCUUUU
rnacentral:rRNA from 1 species